UGAGUAAUGUCUGGGAAACUGCCUGAUGGAGGGGGAUAACUACUGGAAACGGUAGCUAAUACCGCACAACGUCGCACGACCAAAGAGGGGGACCUUCCGGCCUCUCGCCAUCAGAUGUGCCCAGAUGAGGAUUAGCUAGUAUGUGGGGUAAUGGCUCACCUACGCGACCAUCCCUACCUGGUCUGACAGGAUGACCAGCCACACUGGAACUGACACACGGUCCAGACUCCUACCGGAGGCAGCAGUGGGGAAUAUUGCACAAUGGGCGCAAGCCUGAUGCAGCCAUGCCGCGUGUAUGAAGAAAGCCUUCCGGUUGUAAAGUACUUUCAUCGAGGAGGAAAGCAUUGUGGUUAAUAACCACAGUGAUUGACGUUACUCGCACAAAAAGCACCGGCUAACUCCGUGCCAGCAGCCGC
rnacentral:rRNA from 1 species